CACCAGGUUGAUUCUGCCUGACGUAGAGGCUAGACUCAGAGAUUAAGCCAUGCAUGUUUGCGAAGUUCAUGAUGAAACAACAGACGGCUCAGUAAUUCUGCGAUGAUUUGCACUAUCUAGAGAGGUAACUAAUGAAACCAUUAGCUAAGAAGAUAGUUUAAGACGCAGGCCCAUCAGUUAGUUGGUAGUGUAAUGGACUACCAAGACGAUAACGGGUAACGGGGAAAUUAGGGUUUUAUUCCGGAGAGGGAGCCUGAGAGAUGGCUCCCACGUCCAAGGACGGCAGCAGGCGCGAAAAUUGCCCACUCUUUGAAGCGAGGAGGCAGUUAUGAGACAUGUUCUAAAGAAUAGACUGUAAAUAGGUCUAUGUGAUGCGAUUGGAGGGCAAGUUUGGUGCCAGCAGCCGCGG
rnacentral:rRNA from 1 species